AUUGAACGCUGGCGGAAUGCUUUACACAUGCAAGUCGAACGGCAGCACGGACUUCGGUCUGGUGGCGAGUGGCGAACGGGUGAGUAAUGUAUCGGAACGUGCCCAGUCGUGGGGGAUAACGUAGUGAAAAUUACGCUAAUACCGCAUACGAUCUAUGGAUGAAAGCGGGGGAUCGCAAGCACGCGCGCGAUUGGAGCGGCCCAUAUCAGAUUAGGUAGUUGGUGGGGUAAAGGCCCACCAAGCCAACGAUCUGUAGCUGGUCUGAGAGGACGACCAGCCACACUGGAACUGAGAUACGGUCCAGACUCCUACGGGAGGCAGCAGUGGGGAAUUUUGGACAAUGGGCGAAAGCCUGAUCCAGCCAUUCCGCGUGCAGGAUGAAGGCCCUCGGGUUGUAAACUGCUUUUGUACAGAACGAAAAGGUUUCUACUAAUACUAGGAGCUCAUGACGGUACUGUAAGAAUAAGCACCGGCUAACUACGUGCCAGCAGCCGCAGUAA
rnacentral:rRNA from 1 species